GUUGUGGCUCAGUGGUAGUGCACUUGCCUACCAUGUGUGAGGCACUGGGUUGGAUCCUCAGCACUACA
rnacentral:tRNA from 1 species